rnacentral:rRNA from 1 species
UACGUAGGGGGCAAGCGUUGUCCGGAUUUACUGGGCGUAAAGAGCGUGUAGGCGGCCUUACAGGUCCGUUGUGAAAACUCGAGGCUCAACCUCGAGACGCCGGUGGAAACCGUAAAGCUAGAGUCCGGAAGAGGAGAGUGGAAUUCCUGGUGUAGCGGUGAAAUGCGCAGAUAUCAGGAAGAACACCUAUGGCGAAGGCAGCUCUCUGGGACGGUACUGACGCUGAGACGCGAAAGCGUGGGGAGCGAACAGG